rnacentral:misc_RNA from 1 species
CGCAUAUUGCGCCCUUUGGCAUUCCGAAGGGCAUGCCUGUUCGAGCGUCAUUACACCUCUCAAGCCCAGGCUUGAUGUUGGGCCCCGUCGGGUGACGACGGGCCUAAAACGCAGUGAUGGCGGCACCUGUCACCGCACGCACACAGUUGUUGCGAAGCCGGGACGGGCGCGCCAGUCGACCUUUUCUUUUAAAAUGUUGACCUCGGAUCAGGUAGGGAUACCCGCUGAACUUAA